UGGCAAAGUGAGGAGUUCACAUCAGGACAGGGAAUGGAGGAGGGCAAGAAGUGAAGGGCAAAACCCACAGCCUGGGAAGGAGGGAGGCAUAAAACCCAGAGUGCCAGGUGGAGGAAUAAUGGAAGUGAGGACUAUGGGUACAUAAGGAAAGACUGAAUGAGGGUGGAGUUGGAAAAAAAGGGAAGAAGAGACGAAAGCGUGCUUGUAAAACAGAGUUCAGCAAGGAAAAGAGAUACAGCGGGGAAAAGAGAGGCCAGCGACGGGAGGUGCAAAGCAGACAGAGAAAAAGGUGAAAGGUUUAACAGCUGUAGACAUAGCAUGGCCACACCUCUUAACUGAAAAGACAGCAAGAGAUGGGGGCCGUCAUGCCAAAAUGGUGCCACAGAAACAGACUGCCUACUGCAACAAAGGCCAGCCUGCAUGUCUGUGUGGGGCCCUUUCCCCUGGCUUCUCUGAAGCAUACUAAGCCCAGGCAAGAGUCUACAGGAGCUCCAUCUCACCCAAGUUUCUGCACACACUGCUCAUAAGAAAUAUGCUUGUACUUUACAGCGUGUCCUUCACCUUCAGGAACUAAUUUUUUUUUCUAUCAUUUAAAAAGUA